rnacentral:rRNA from 1 species
UACGUAGGGUGCGAGCGUUAAUCGGAAUUACUGGGCGUAAAGCGUGCGCAGGCGGUUCGUGAUGUCUUAUGUGAAAGCCCCGGGCUCAACCUGGGAAUUGCAUUGGAAACUAGCGGGCUGGAGUGUGGCAGGGGGGGGUGGAAUUCCACGUGUAGCAGUGAAAUGCGUAGAGAUGUGGAGGAACACCGAUGGCGAAGGCAGCCCCCUGGGCUAACACUGACGCUCAUGCACGAAAGCGUGGGGAGCAAACAGG